rnacentral:rRNA from 1 species
AACGAACGCUGGCGGCAGGCUUAACACAUGCAAGUCGAGCGCCCCGCAAGGGGAACGGCAGACGGGUGAGUAACGCGUGGGAAUCUACCCAUCUCUACGGAAUAACGCAUGGAAACGUGUGCUAAUACCGUAUACGUCCUUCGGGAGAAAGAUGUAUCGGAGAUGGAUGAGCCCGCGUUGGAUUAGCUAGUUGGUGGGGUAAAGGCCUACCAAGGAGACGAUCCAUAGCUGGUCUGAGAGGAUGAUCAGCCACACUGGGACUGAGACACGGCCCAGACUCCUACGGGAGGCAGCAGUGGGGAAUAUUGGACAAUUGGCGCAAGCCUGAUCCAGCCAUGCCGCGUGAGUGAUGGAGGCCCUAGGGUUGUAAAGCUCUUUCACCGGUGAAGAUAAUGACGGUAACCGGAGAAGAAGCCCCGGCUAACUUCGUGCCAGCCGCCGCAGUAACAC